rnacentral:rRNA from 1 species
GAUCAUGGCUCAGGAUGAACGCUAGCGGCAGGCUUAACACAUGCAAGUCGAGGGGCAGCGGGGAGUAGCAAUACACCGCCGGCGACCGGCGCACGGGUGAGUAACGCGUAUGCAACUUGCCUAUCAGAGGGGGAUAACCCGGCGAAAGUCGGACUAAUACCGCAUGAAGCAGGGAUCCCGCAUGGGAAUAUUUGCUAAAGAUUCAUCGCUGAUAGAUAGGCAUGCG